rnacentral:lncRNA from 1 species
AACCAUCUAAGAAAAAGACAUCUACAAUAAAAUUAAUGGAAAAGGAUUUUGGUAUUGAUGGCACAAGUAAAGCCUUACCAAGUGGGACCGAGUGCAACACAAUCUUUGGUCCUGUAAUAUUUUUCUAUCACAGAUCUUCUCCAAAGCAUCCUCAUUUAAGCCUUAUGACCUAAGAUUUAGAUUGUAGAAAAUACUAACAUCGAAAAUUUAGAUUUUAUAUUUGUGCGUAAAGAUUAAGAAGAAUGGAAAGAAACUUUUUUUUUUCUUUUUUAGAAUGAAUGGAGGUUGCAUAGACUUUAGAAAACAAACAUUUCGCUAUACCUCUUUGUU